GUACCCUCAAGCUUUGCUUGGUGUUGGGCGUUUUUGUCUUUGGUCGCCCAAAGACUCGCCUUAAAGUGAUUGGCAGCCGGCCUUUCUGGUUUCGCAGCGCAGCACAUUUUUGCGCUUGCCAUCAGCAAAACGGCAAUCCAUCAAGCCUCCUUCUCAC
rnacentral:misc_RNA from 1 species